rnacentral:rRNA from 1 species
GACGAACGCUGGCGGCGUGCUUAACACAUGCAAGUCGAACGGAAAGGCCCUGCUUUUGUGGGGUGCUCGAGUGGCGAACGGGUGAGUAACACGUGAGUAACCUGCCCUUUACUUUGGGAUAACUUCAGGAAACUGGGGCUAAUACCGGAUAGGAGCUCCUGCUGCAUUGUGUGGGUUGUAACGUUUCGGCGGUUGGGGAUGGACUCGGGGCUUAUCAGCUUGUUGGUGGGGUAGUGGCUUACCAAGGCUUUGACGGGUAGCCGGCCUGAGAGGGUGACCGGCCACAUGGGGACUGAGAUACGGCCCAGACUGCUACGGGAGGCAGCAGUGGGGAAUAUUGCACAAUGGGCGGAAGCCUGAUGCAGCAACGCCGCGUGCGGGAUGACGGCCUUCGGGUUGUAAACCGCUUUCGCCUGUGACGAAGCGUGAGUGACGGUAAUGGGUAAAGAAGCAACGGCUAACUACGUG